GAUGAAGAAAGAAAGGAAGAAUUACUCUGAAAAUCUUGAUCUGAUGUUUCUGUUGUUUUGCCAGUUUGUACCCAGUAGCUGGAGCAUCUUCUAAUUUGUCUUUGUCCAGUUGUCUGUAUGGUGCAAGACCUAUUUGCCGCGAAGUUUCUUUUUUUCUUGCAGAAGAUUUACUAGGAUUCAUUAAGAUACAGAUCAACUGGUUGUUUGGGCAUCCACGGACAAGAUUUCUUUUUUCUGUUAAGGGAAAUCAACAUUUUCCACUAAUGUUGCUUAUCAACAGGAAUUUCACCACUGAAGAAAGUAACAUAGUCUUCACCUCCUAACAAAUGAAAGUUAUUAAUGUUUCCUUGUGAGACACACUGGAUCCCCUCAACUGCAGAUCUGUUUUUCUUACAUGCUUCAUUGAUGUUGAGGGCAACAACCACAUUCGCAUGCUUCUGAGUCACUUGGGAACAAAAGCAAGGACUGGAUUCUAAUAUCAAAAACCAAUAUUAGGAAGAAAAUUCCUCUCUGAGGAACUCCUCCUAGGAGAUCCCUCAUCUUGAAAAUAUGGAAAAUAAUCAUCCUUACCACACAAGGUUGCUGUGCGUUUAGAUGAAUUAGUGAAUGUAAGAACCUGAAAACAGUACCGGCCUCUGAGUAAGUACUCUGUAUAUUUUGUCCAUUAGUACUAUCACUACCUUUUCUCUCAUACCUCUCUCCCCAGGAACUGCCUUAGGAUUUUCCCACCAUUCAUUAGAGACCAAAUGGCCUUCAUAAAUGCUCUGGCUACUGAUUCUGAGUUUUAUAUGGACUGCAAAGCGGCUCCUCAUGCUGUUUUUAAGUUCCUUGACCUCCGUAAGCUCUUUUUAGUGAUGCUCAGAAGCUGGAACAGUUGAGUUUCAGAUAUAGAUUGGAGAGCUUCCUUACGAACUCCAAUAAAAUAGCUCAGAGUUUGGCUCUCACUUUUAAAUACUAUGCAGAUGGCGCUGAACCCCAGCCAAACUGGCGGCAACUUGAUUUCCUCUGGAGAGAAAAUGUUCGCAAAAGGAGAUCUAAGGAGCUUCCUACCAAUUUAGAAGAGACAGAAGAAAGGACACUCUGUGCCAGCUGUGAAAGAAGCUCUUAUAUGCUGAUAGGAAUGUUAUGAAAUAUCUGUAAAUUUGGAGCUUGUUUUCUUGAGCUGUAAAACCUAACUGCAUGGAGUGGAUUUUUGAACACUCUUAAAAUAAACAUAAACUAAGCUUUGAUAAAGGGACCCUU
rnacentral:lncRNA from 12 species